rnacentral:rRNA from 1 species
AUUGAACGCUGGCGGCAUGCUUUACACAUGCAAGUCGAACGGCAGCGCGGGCUUCGGCCUGGCGGCGAGUGGCGAACGGGUGAGUAAUACAUCGGAACGUGCCCAGUAGCGGGGGAUAGCUCGGCGAAAGCCGGAUUAAUACCGCAUACGACCUGAGGGUGAAAGCGGGGGAUCUUCGGACCUCGCGCUAUUGGAGCGGCCGAUGGCAGAUUAGCUAGUUGGUGGGGUAAAGGCCUACCAAGGCGACGAUCUGUAGCUGGUCUGAGAGGACGACCAGCCACACUGGGACUGAGACACGGCCCAGACUCCUACGGGAGGCAGCAGUGGGGAAUUUUGGACAAUGGGCGAAAGCCUGAUCCAGCAAUGCCGCGUGUGUGAUGAAGGCCUUCGGGUUGUAAAGCACCUUUGGCGGGAACGAAAAGGACUGUGCCAAUACCACGGUUCGAUGACGGUACCCGCAGAAUAAGCACCGGCUAACUACGUG